AGUGAACGCUGGCGGUAGGCCUAACACAUGCAAGUCGAACGGCAGCACAGUAAGAGCUUGCUCUUACGGGUGGCGAGUGGCGGACGGGUGAGGAAUACAUCGGCAUCUACUUUUUCGUGGGGGAUAACGUAGGGAAACUUACGCUACUACCGCAUACGAUCUACGGGUGAAAGCAGGGGAUCUUCGGACCUUGCGCGAUUGAAUGAGCCGAGGUCGGAUUAGCUAGUUGGCGGGGUAAAGGCCCACCAAGGCGACGAUCCGUAGCUGGUCUGAGAGGAUGAUCAGCCACACUGGAACUGAGACACGGUCCAGACUCCUACGGGAGGCAGCAGUGGGGAAUAUUGGACAAUGGGCGCAAGCCUGAUCCAGCCAUGCCGCGUGAGUGAAGAAGGCCUUCGGGUUGUAAAGCCCUUUUGUUGGGAAAGAAAAGCAGCAGGUUAAUACCCCGCUGUUCUGACGGUACCCAAAGAAUAAGCACCGGCUAACUUCGUG
rnacentral:rRNA from 1 species